rnacentral:rRNA from 1 species
CUUUGUGGCGACCGGCGCACGGGUGCGUAACGCGUAUGUAACCUACCUAUAACAGGGGCAUAACACUGAGAAAUUGGUACUAAUUCCCCAUAAUAUUCGGAGAGGCAUCUCUCCGGGUUGAAAACUCCGGUGGUUAUAGAUGGACAUGCGUUGUAUUAGCUAGUUGGUGAGGUAACGGCUCACCAAGGCGACGAUACAUAGGGGGACUGAGAGGUUAACCCCCCACACUGGUACUGAGACACGGACCAGACUCCUACGGGAGGCAGCAUG